GGAGAAUGGUGUGAACCUGGGAGGCAGAGCUUGCAGUGAGCGGAGAUCGCACCACUGCACUCCAGCCCAGGCGACAGAGUGAGACUCUGUCUCAAAAAAAAAAAAAAAAAAAGAAAAGAAAAAGAAAAAAGAAAUAAAAAAAAAAAAAAAAAAAAAAAAAAAAAAAAAAAAAAAAAAAAAAAGGAUACAGCCUCCUAAAAGAGAAGACUUCUCAAUAUUAGCCAUUUACCUUAUUUCACCUCU
rnacentral:lncRNA from 1 species